UCCUGGCGUAACAGGAAGGCCUGCCCCUUUCGGAUAGGUGACAGGAAACCUGCCUACGCCUGACAUAAACUAGUCGCCAUCCAACCCUUUUCCUGGGUAACAGGAAGUCCCACCUCUUUCAGAUUUGGAACUCCUGCCCCUGUCUGAGAUCAGCCUGGGAGAGAUGAUCCAUGUCCAGGGCCUGCAGCUGAGCUCACCAGCCUUCAUGAUCAGCACCUACAAGGCCAUGAUCUACAGGCAACCUGUUAUUUUUGUGUUUGGUGGCAUGGCCAGCUGGUCCCAGACUGACAUUGCCAAGAUGACCACAGGUCACCUGAGGCCCCACUUCCUGGCAGUGUGCCUGCCCAACCGGGCCUCUUUGGACUGCAAAAUUGGCUACAUCACAAACCAGGCAAGCUGAAAACAUCUUCUGUGCCAGGCGAGUGGGCAGCUGGGGAGGAGAACCCAGGAAGGGUCCCCUCACCCCCGCCGCAGCUGAUGGUGGCCCUCCCCUGCCCAUCCCCCAGGAAAUCCUUCUAUUCUGAGCAUGCCUCUUUGGGGAUGUAUGCCAUGGUGCAUCUGAUGGUGAGUGCUGGCGGGAGACAGGCCACACACCCGGUGAGGUCAGAGAAUACUCCAUUGUCCCCCGCCCCCACCCCCACCCCAUGCUUGGUGCCAGCAGUGCCAGGCACAGCUUCCAUGGAGCUUGUGUGUGUGUCCGUGGAGUUGGGAGGGCAAGAAUGGGGAGGGCCUAUCUCCUCUUAAGGCUCAUUCAGUGUCUCUGUCCCAGAAUGGCAACUUCCAGAACCCUGUCUCCUCCUCCCUGCAGCUGGAGACAGCCCGUGCCAGGCUAGGUCCAUGCCCAGGGCUAGGUUCCACCAGGAGCGGGUGGGAGGGAAAUCAGAUCCAGCUGAGGUGCAGGUCCAAAGUUUUGGUAGUGAGGUGGCAGGAGGAGCUGGGGAGAAGGGAACCCGCUGGGAAGCAGCCGAUGACCCAGUGGACAAAGAGAGCAUAGAUUCUGGUGGUGGAAUUGGAUCACAUAUACGGGAGCCAGCCCAGAGCACCUGGGCACGUGGUGGACAGACACAAUGACAUAGACAGAGGCCCAGGCCACGGGGCAUGUGACAGUCACACGGAUGUUUUCACACCAGCAACCCAGCAACAUUUCUUCCUGAAAGACAACCCAUUCUGCUGCCAGCCUUUAAAAAAGAAAAGUAACUACAGCUUCUGUUUGAUAAGAGAACAGGGUCUUUGAAGCCGGAUCUAUCACAGCCUCAACUGUGUGUAACACUGGGUGAGAUACUCAACUUCCUUCUCAGGCCUCCCAUUUUGCAUCUGUAAAAUGGGCACGCAAACAGCAACUGCCUCCUAGGGUUGUGGUUUUCAUGUUAAAACAUAAACAAGCAGCCCUGACUG